GGCGCUGAUUUCACAAUUUUUACUCUAUAUCUAUCCUUUUCUCAUUAUUUGCUCUUUGUCUAUCAUUCUUAGCAUGUGUGCGUGACAUAGAGAUACGAAACACAAAACAACACAUGGAAUGUCAAUCGAACGUCAAUUGUACUCGGUAUUUUUCUUUCCUACAAUAUAUUUUAAUAUAUAAAAUAUAUAUUACAUUAUAUUAUAUUCUCAAUGUGAUUUAAACGAAAACUUGUCAAUAAAAAGGCGUAAUUAUUGGCGUUGCUGUUUCCACAUCGACAUUGUCACCAAUUCCUGGGCUGGCUGAUAUCUCUGCAUCUCUGAUCGUAUCGAUAAGGGAUACUUUUUUGACGAUGAUCGAAUGGGAUUUGCUGUAUCAAACAAAAAUUGGACACAACUGGACACAACAUUAAUCUCGUGAGCAAGUAUGGGACCUUGUGUUUUUGUUGACAUCAUUAUUGUUAAGCGAUUGCUCUUUCUGUUGAGCUGUUUUAAGUCAUAUCGCCCAGUUUGAGUAAUGAUACCUUUUUUGUUUAUGAAUAAUUAUUUUUUUUUAACGAUUGUUCAUCACCGUGGCCACAAGAAAUAUGAUUAACGAUCGACGAAAGGAUCAGUUGACGUUUCUGGUUGAAUUUUUCUAGGCUUACGUGUGCUCAACAAUAAGUACACGUAAGCGUAUAAGUGUUUUAUAAUGAAUGAAUGUUUCAAUCUGUUAUUCUUAUUAUUAUUUGCUUCUUGAAGCAAGCAUAAUUAUUCAAAAAUAACAUUCAAAUAUACGAUAUAUUAUUUAAAUAUUUUACUUUAAAUAAUAUUUUAAGCAAAACUUAAUUUAAAUAGAAAUAAAUUUCUAGCACGUUUCAUAAAGAGGUUAUGAAAAAUUGAUGAAACGUGACUAAUUAUAUAUAUAUAUAUAUUUUAAUAAAAAUCGUAUUAUCGGAAUUAAGUGACGAAGAAAUCUGAAACAUCGUUCCAACAGAGAGCGUUGAAAACAUGGUUUACUAGAGUGCAUGUAAUAUUUUGCGAGCAUAAUGAAAGAUACUCGAAAUGCGGAGUUAAAAACACGCGAUGCUCGUUUUCGAGUUAGGAGACGUGUUAUUAAUUACGCCCGCGAAAUGCCUGUGUUUAAACGGAGCAGACCCGAAUGCAACAGGUACAAAAUAUCCAUUUCUUUAUGCAAGCGCUCGUAAUCUCGAUUAUAUACCGUUCUGAAUAACGUUUCUUAAUCCCUUACGUGAUUAGCAGAAAAGAGGCAUCCAAAAUAUUUCUAGAAAUCAUUUUAAGAUAAAAAGAAAUAGAAUUAUUUACUUAUUUACUUUUUUCUUAUGUAUAAUGAUUCUUAAAUCUUUUAAGCGAUCCACAAAUUUGAUUUUUAAAAAUAUUAAUCUAGUCUCUUUCAAAGAUUAGAAAAAUUUUAAAAUAAGAAAUAAAAUUUUGUUGAUCACUAGUGUGUUAGUGUGCAAAGAAAUAUCAAUAUAACAAAAAGUUAAUUCUUUCGAAAUCUUCUUGACUUUUUAUUUAACAAUGAACGCGAUAUUACUGUAAAAUAAUACGAAUAAAUUAAAAAAAAAAUAAUUAAUCUAAUAUUCUUACAGAUCUCAUAUCAAAAAAAUAUCUGUUAUUUAAUUCUAAUUAAAACUUCAAAACAUUAAUACAAAUUGAAUCUUUUUCUUACAUCUAUACUUGUACAUCAAUUUAGAAAAAAAAAGGAUUUUUAAUAAACAAUAAAUCCUAAUAAACAAGAUACCUUGUAUAAAAGCAGUUGUUGCUAAAGUUUUUUUCUGAUCGGUUUGAAAAUAUUUUAUAUACAGAUUAUGGUGGUUUUUUUGUAUUUUACGACUAAAAGACAAAAUAAAAAAAAGAAAGGAAUAUCCGGCAGCGAUAAAAACCGAUAUAGCGCGUUCACAUUUCGUGAAGUCUAAUAUACAACGUAACAAAGAUGUUAAAUAGCCAUAUAUAGAAACUUGAUUGAAACUACAAGGUUGUAUUAACUUUCGGUAUCGACAAGAAUGUAAACAUCAUUUUCGAACGGCAAUAAGUUUUUUACGUUAUCCGAAUUAUGGCCACGUUACGAUAGACUCGAACAGCGAUAUAUUACGAAUUUUACAAAUAUAAAUUAUUUAUACAAGCUAUCGUGUUAAUUAUCACGAAAGAAAACGACAUUUUUACAUGUCAGUAUAUACACGAUAGUCGAUUAAAACACUCACGAACGAAGCUUUUUUUCUUUUAUACACGUAUAAAAUGUUGUUGUACAAAUUGCAUAUUUAUAUUUAAAUAAGUUUCGAAUAAGAUUAUUAAUAUUUUUUUCGAACGUUUAGCGAUAUCAGAUAAUAGAGAUCCAUAGAAUCAAACAUGUUCUCGUUGAUUAUUAAUUCUCAUCGAAUUAAUUGAAAUUCCUUAUUUCAAACUGGAAAAAAUAUACAAAAUUUGGAAUCUUGAUUUAGUAUGGAUAAAAAAAAAAGUAUAUGUGAAUAAUUGUAAUUAUUGAUGAUGUAUUUAAAGAAGAGAUGAUAAAUAUUUAUGACAAUAUUUGUCAACUUGAUAAUAAACGUAUUUACU